GGCAAAUAGACAGAGCUCUGCUAAUGGUAACUUGUUAAAGAAAAAAAAAUCUACAGAUGCAUUUAAAAUCUACUGUAUAAAGAAUAAUUAAUAUUAUGCAACAGGGACACGUUACAUCCACAUAACUAUUAAUUAAUAAUAAUAAUAUAUCUCUGUAAAUGUGUCACAGGCGGGAAAAGGUCUGCGGUUUUUAGUGAACAUAACCGGCCAAAAAAAUUCUUAAAACGGUUAGGCCUAAGUCAGUAUUCACGCGGCAGCCCAAUUUUACACCAAAAAAAGAAACGUCAUUUCACAAAUUACACACAGAGACAUUUAAGUGUGUCUGGAAAUAGAUUUUUCUCAAAGUUUGAGCCGCAAUAUCAUGCUUAGGCCUAUUGUAAACUAACAGCGCCAGUCUGUAAAGCAUUGGCUAGGUUUGGAAGUUGGGUGAUUUGAACUUAAACGCAUUUAUACCUUGUCCAUCCAUAUAAAAAAUAAAACAUUUAACAGACAAUAAAGCAAAAUUUACAGGCGCAUUAUAGAUGAACUUACCAGCGUACUCCUGUGGCCUUACGACUCUUCCCCCCUCCUCGUCUGCUUCAUGUCCGCCUGCCUGCUACUGGCCCUGCGGGAGGAAAAUGGGAAAUUCAGAUGUUCUUACAGAAACGUACUUUCACGACGACUCUCUUCCCGCCUGCUUUACCGCCUGUCUGGCUGCUUGUGCUGCUGGCCCGCUGCCAGAGUAAAACGGUGGUUCUGCAAAUGACUCUGGCCUGCAGUCAGUCCUGCGUCUUCAGCAAAUACGACAAAAAGUUCCCGCCUUGUGUUAUAUUGGCCAAUCGGUGCUGUUGUCAAGGCAGAAUUUCAAGCGCGACCAAUAAUUUUUAAACAGAGACGUAGCGAAUAAUUUAAAUAAAUGGAAAUUCUGAGUUUAUAACACUUAAAAUCUUAAUUCAAAAGAUUUUUACUGCCAGUGAGUAAGUUAAACACAUCUGUUUAAGUUUUGAUGGCAAAAGUGUGUGUUAUAAGUAAUGUGAAGUUAUGUUAACUUGGUUUCUUUAUUAACGACAACAUUAGGGUUUACAGUGUGACAUCACUUACAAGGAGCGCAAAUUAACUGAAUCUAGCACUAGUUCAAGCGUGUUUUUAUCUUUCAUGGUAAACAAAUAUUGAUAAAAAUUGUUCUGUGGUUUCAGGAGUGAUGAUAUAAUCUCUCUACAACAGAAGAGAAGCUCCAAAAUUUCAAAGUUUCUGAAGGGAGCUGCUGACAGAAAUGCAGGAAACACAGAUGGGAUGAGAAAGCUCUUUAAAUACAUUCAUAUGCAUUUUCUCACAACACAUUUUCUUAUAUUACCAUGCAUCCAUUAUAUUACAGUAAUUUAUAAAGGUUUUAACAUUAAAAGAAGUGUGACACAAACCUAAAAACAUUAAUGUUAAUGCUGUUAUUUUAAG
ensembl:lncRNA